UACAGAGGUCCCAAGCGUUGUUCGGAUUCACUGGGCGUAAAGGGUGCGUAGGUGGUGAGGUAAGUCGGAUGUGAAAUCUCCGAGCUCAACUCGGAAAUGGCAUUGGAAACUACCUUGCUCGAGGGUUGGAGGGGGGACUGGAAUGCUUGGUGUAGCAGUGAAAUGCGUAGAUAUCAAGCGGAACACCAGUGGCGAAGGCGAGUCCCUGGACAACUCCUGACACUGAGGCACGAAAGCUAGGAGAGCAAACAGG
rnacentral:rRNA from 1 species